GGCUGUCGUCAGCUCGUGUCGUGAGAUGUUGGGUUAAGUCCCGUAACGAGCGCAACCCUUGUCCUUAGUUACCAGCACGUAAUGGUGGGCACUCUAAGGAGACCCGGUGACAAACCGGAGGAAGGUGGGGAUGACGUCAAGUCAUCAUGGCCCUUACGGCCUGGGCUACACACGUGCUACAAUGGUCGGUACAGAGGGUUGCCAAGCCGCGAGGUGGAGCUAAUCCCACAAAACCGAUCGUAGUCCGGGAUCGCAGUCUGCAACUCGACUGCGUGAAGUCGGAAUCGCUAGUAAUCAGCGAAAUAGAAUGUCGGGGGUGAAUACGUUACCCGGUCUUGUACACACGCAAU
rnacentral:rRNA from 1 species